rnacentral:rRNA from 1 species
UACGGGGGGGGCAAGCGUUGUUCGGAAUUACUGGGCGUAAAGGGCUCGUAGGCGGCCAACUAAGUCCGACGUGAAAUCCCCAGGCUUAACCUGGGAACUGCGUCGGAUACUGGAUGGCUUGAAUUCGGGAGAGGGAUGCAGAAUUCCAGGUGUAGCGGUGAAAUGCGUAGAUAUCGGGAGGAACACCAGUGGCGAAGGCGGCGAUCUGGGAAGAUACUGACGCUGAGGUGCGAAAGCGUGGGAGCAAACAGG